rnacentral:rRNA from 1 species
GCUUGCUCCCCGCUGACGAGCGGCGGACGGGUGAGUAAUGCAUAGGAAACUGCCCAGUAGUGGGGGAUAGCCCGGGGAAACCCGGAUUAAUACCGCAUACGCCCUUUGGGGGAAAGCAGGGGAUCUUCGGACCUUGCGCUAUUGGAUGUGCCUAUGUCGGAUUAGCUAGUUGGUGGGGUAAGAGCCUACCAAGGCGACGAUCCGUAGCUGGUCUGAGAGGAUGAUCAGCCACAUCGGGACUGAGACACGGCCCGAACUCCUACGGGAGGCAGCAGUGGGGAAUAUUGGACAAUGGGGGCAACCCUGAUCCAGCCAUGCCGCGUGUGUGAAGAAGGCUUUCGGGUUGUAAAGCACUUUCAGUGAGGAGGAAAACCUUACGAUUAAUACUCGUGAGGCUUGACGUUACUCACAGAAGAAGCACCGGCUAACUCCGUGCCAGCAGCCGCGGUAAUACGGAGGGUGCAAGCGUUAAUCGGAAUUACUGGGCGUAAAGCGCGCGUAGGUGGUUUGAUAAACCGAGAUGUGAAAGCCCCGGGCUCAACCUGGGAACGGCAUUUCGAACUGUCAGGCUAGAGUAUGGUAGAGGAGUGUGGAAUUUCCUGUGUAGCGGUGAAAUGCGUAGAUAUA